rnacentral:rRNA from 1 species
UGGGUAACCUGCCUUAUAGUGGGGGGAUAGCCUUUCGAAAGGAAGAUUAAUACCGCAUAAGAUUGUAGUAUCGCAUGAUAUAGCAAUUAAAGGAGCAANCCGCUAUAAGAUGGACCCGCGUCGCAUUAGCUAGUUGGUGAGGUGAUGGCUCACCAAGGCGACGAUGCGUAGCCGACCUGAGAGGGUGAUCGGCCACAUUGGGACUGAGACACGGCCCAGACUCCUACGGAGGCAGCAUG